rnacentral:rRNA from 1 species
AUGAUGAUCUCAUGUGUACAAUCGAAAAAAAACCAUACUGCUGGGUGGCAACAUGCGAACGAGCGAGCGAGCGAGCGAAGCCUCCAUGUCCCUUCGCCGUUGCCCUCGCACAUCAAGUCGCCGCCCUCGCCCUCUCCCUCGCAGCCGCCGCCGAUCCCCUCCCCCAUCUUCCUCCCUCAAAAGCUAACCCGUCUCGCGGUGCGCUACCGCCCGUCGCUACCGCCCCCGCCACCUCCCGUCGCGGGUAGGCGGGAGGAGCCCUGCCCGACCAUGGAGACACUGCCGGCGGCCUCCUCCUCCCCCUCACCUUCUCUCCCUUUCCCAAGGGAGGGAAGGGAAUGGAAGGGAUCCGGCGGCAAGGGGGGGCAGCGCCCAGAUCCGCGGCCGCACCGGCGGGCCGCCGUCCCUCGAGAUCGUGCAUGGAGGUCCGACGCCUACCUCCAAGGAAAGGACGCGCGCCAGCUGCAGGCCAUCUCCGGCGACCUCCGACCAUGGUGCGCGCGCCUCCUUCCCUUGUCUUGUUGCUCGGAUCUGGACCAGCUGCUGCUCCUACUGCUUCAGGUGGACGAGGACGAGCCCUCCCUCAUGGCUGCUGCGGCUGCCUACUCCCUCCUCCUAGCCUGGUGUGGUGAGCUCCACCCCCUUCCCUGCACAUCUCAUCUUUUGAUUGCAAAUGGUCUGGACAUAACUUUGUGCCCAACUUAUCUGAUUGUUGGUUAUUCUGUUUAUGUUGUUCCUUUUGGGCCUACUUCAGAACGGUCGUUGAAGCGAAAUAUCGAUCAUGUUCAUAGAUCAGGGAAUGAAUUUGAUGUGUCACGCCUGACAAAAGCCCAAGAUUACAGAAUCUUUGUGUCGACGUGGAAUGUUGGUGGCCAAUGCCCAUCAAGGGGGACACUAAACAAGAACGCUGGGUCUAGCAUUCAUGCUGGCUAUCACACGCCAUUCCCUGUCCCUGAUCCGGUUGUGGAACUAGAUGCUGAUUUUAAGGUGUCCAGGUAUUGUUUGGUUGCCAGCAAACAGAUGGUUGGCAGAUUUCUCACAGUUUGGGUAACAGGUAUGGCAUGGGAUUCAUUGUUCUGGUUAGAUGAGAUAUAUCAUCUGCAUGAUUCCGAUGGAAAUGCAAAAGAAACAGAACCAACAAUAGUAGUCUACCUUAAAGCUCGAAGAAUUCAUGAGGAAUUCUUGCUAGCAUCUAGAAUUGGAUGCCCUCAGGAAGACUACUUUCACACCGCCGAUGUUGUGAGGACUGGCAGCUCUUCAGUUCAUGCUGCCAAUGUUACAACUUGCAGCAUUGGAAUCAACAUCUGGGAACAAUGCAUGGACAUUUAG